GUGUCAGCCGCCGCGGUAAGACAGAGGGUGCAAACGUUGUUCGGAAUUACUGGGCGUAAAGCGUGUGUAGGCGGUCUGCAAAGUCGGAUGUGAAAGCCCCGGGCUCAACCUGGGAAGUGCACUCGAUACUGGCAGACUAGAGUAUCGGAGAGGUUGGUGGAAUUCUCGGUGGAGAGGUGAAAUUCGUAGAUAUCGAGGGGAACACCAGUGGCGAAGGCGGCCAACUGGACGAAUACUGACGCUGAGACACGAAAGCGUGGGGAGCAAACAGGAUUAGAAACCCUGGUAGUCC
rnacentral:rRNA from 1 species